CUACGGGCUGCUGCAGUGAGGAAUAUUGCGCAAUGGGGGCAACCCUGAUGCAGCCAUGCCGCGUGUGUGAAGAAGGCCUUCGGGUUGUAAAGCACUUUCAGCAGUGAGGAAAGCAGCAUAGUUAAUACCUGUGUUGUGUGACGUUAACUGCAGAAGAAGCACCGGCUAACUCCGUGCCAGCAGCCGCGGUAAUACGGAGGGUGCGAGCGUUAAUCGGAAUUACUGGGCGUAAAGCGCAUGCAGGCGGUCUGUUAAGCCAGAUGUGAAAGCCCGGGGCUCAACCCCGGAAUAGCAUUUGGAACUGGCAGACUAGAGUUUGGUAGAGGGGGGUAGAAUUUCAGGUGUAGCGGUGAAAUGCGUAGAGAUCUGAAGGAAUACCAGUGGCGAAGGCGGCCCCCUGGACAAAAACUGACGCUCAGAUGCGAAAGCGUGGGUAGCAAACAGGAUUAGAUACCCCCGUAGUC
rnacentral:rRNA from 1 species